UGCGUAGGUGGUGGGGUAAGUCUCGUGUGAAAGCUCGCAGCUUAACUGCGAAAAGUCACGGGAUACUAUCCGGCUAGAGGCUUGGAGGGGGGACUGGAAUACUUGGUGUAGCAGUGAAAUGCGUAGAUAUCAAGUGGAACACCAGUGGCGAAGGCGAGUCCCUGGACAAGACCUGACACUGAGGCACGAAACGACGGGAGGGCAACA
rnacentral:rRNA from 1 species